UAAUUGAAGAGUUUGAUCAUGGCUCAGAUUGAACGCUGGCGGCAGGCCUAACACAUGCAAGUCGAGCGGCAGCGACUUAACUGAACCUUCGGGGAACGUUAAGGGCGGCGAGCGGCGGACGGGUGAGUAAUGCCUGGGAAUAUGCCCUGAUGUGGGGGAUAACUAUUGGAAACGA
rnacentral:rRNA from 1 species